rnacentral:rRNA from 1 species
ACGAACGCUGGCGGCGUGCUUAACACAUGCAAGUCGCACGGAAAGGCCCUGCUUUUGUGGGGUGCUCGAGUGGCGAACGGGUGAGUAACACGUGAGUAACCUGCCCUUGACUUUGGGAUAACUUCAGGAAACUGGGGCUAAUACCGGUUAGGAGCUCCUGCUGCAUGGUGGGGGUUGGAAAGUUUCGGCGGUUGGGGAUGGACUCGCGGCUUAUCAGCUUGUUGGUGGGGUAGUGGCUUACCAAGGCUUUGACGGGUAGCCGGCCUGAGAGGGUGACCGGCCACAUUGGGACUGAGAUACGGCCCAGACUCCUACGGGAGGCAGCAGUGGGGAAUAUUGCACAAUGGGCGGAAGCCUGAUGCAGCAACGCCGCGUGCGGGAUGACGGCCUUCGGGUUGUAAACCGCUUUCGCCUGUGACGAAGCGUGAGUGACGGUAAUGGGUAAAGAAGCACCGGCUAACUACGUG